ACUCCUACGGGAGGCAGCAGUGGGGAAUAUUGCACAAUGGGGAAACCCUGAUGCAGCCAUGCCGCGUGUGUGAAGAAGGCCUCGGUUGUAAAGCACUUCAGUAGGGAGGAAGGUAGUGUAGUUAACACCUGCAUUAUUUGUACGUUACCUACAGAAGAAGCACCGGCUAACUCCGUGCCAGCAGCCGCGGUAAUACGGAGGGGUGCGAGCGUUAAUCGGAAUUACUGGGCGUAAAGCGCAUGCAGGCGGCCUGUUAAGUCAGAUGUGAAAGCCCGGGGGCUUAACCUCGGAAUUGCAUUUGAAACUGGCAGGCUAGAGUCUUGUAGAGGGGGUAGGAAUUUCAGGUGUAGCGGUGAAAUGCGUAGAGAUCUGAAGGAAUACCAGU
rnacentral:rRNA from 1 species